rnacentral:lncRNA from 1 species
AGACUUCCGCUGGAUUUGGUGACCUCAAAUAUCCCCCAAAUGCAGAAUGAGGUGCCCACGCCGGGGACAAGCAAAACGUCUGCAGCGCGUCGAGAAAAUGAGACGAAGCCGCUCUCCAAAGCCCGCCGCACUCUCAACUGAACGGGAACCCUCCUGCCAUGUCGUGGAGAACUCUCCCCUCGUCCCAUUCCGGCCUGCGCCUCGUCCUAAUGCUAGUGCUCGCUCUUUGGAAAUAGAGUAAUGCCCCCGCCCCUCCGUGUGCACCGACCGCAGACACCCUGGGCAGCCAGCAGAACCCCCUUUGUGGCGUAGAUUAAAAACACCCUUGACUAGUCAAUAACACCACGAUUUUUACUUGUGAGCUGCCCUGUCUCUCAGCUGCUUUGCCUGAUGUUUCCUAGGAUUGGGUUGUUUGCUGAAGCCCCAGUCACGUGUCCAGGAUACCACCGUGCUGGGCGCUGGACGGACACAGAAUGAAAAGCCAAGCCCUGCCCCAUGCCUAGGAACACUCCUUUGCAGAGGGAAAUGUUCUCCAGGUGGGAGCAGGGGUAUUAAGGCUCGUGCUUCAGGGCUUACUCUGAUUCCUAACUAUAAAAGACCAGGUUUGUGCUAUGCAAGGCAUCAAUGCAGUUCAGGGUUCCUAUGCCUUCCUCUCUAGCCUCUGGCGCUGGUCACUGCCAGAGACAGGAUACUGGGCGAGGUGGCCCACAAGUCUGAUCCAGCCCCGCAAUUCCUAUGCUCCUCGGCACAGAGAGGUCAGGUGAUUUGCCCAAAGUCCAGUGAGGAGCAGAGCUGGGAAUAGAAUCCGGAUGUCCUAAUGCCCAAUCCUGGGCUUGAAACUCAAGCCUGGCCUUUCUCCCUUCUCCCAUGUCUUAGUAACUAGGUACCUUCCCUAGCUUCUUGCAAUGUUGCCCAUCAAUGUGGUAUCCCAGCCUCGGAGGUAACAAGCAAAAAAUCCCGCUUGGUUACUCUAGAGAGCUGGGCAGAACGUUUGCAAUUAAACUUUUUUUUUUCUUGUCAAAAUCUGCUGUUGAAACCGUGUGGCG